AUUUUAAUGCCCGUAGAGAUAAUGUAAAAUAUUUAAUUUUCCUUAUCAGAUUUAUUUUCUUUUAGUUGAUUUUAACUUUUUUGCCUCAGCUGAUGAAUGCCAAACUUAUAGAAUACCAUAUAUGUGUCACUUUGCUUGUAUGAUAUGCAUAAAGCAGUUAAGCAAUACUCUCUUUGUGCACACAAGACGAAAACCUCCUAGCAGUGACUUAAAAGCAGUAUUCCUGGUUUCUUAUCAGCAGAUGAUUGGCAGUAUGGAAGUCCUGAAUUGACUACAGUAUGUCGUCAGAGUUGGAAAACAAGGCUUGUCGAAAACCCCACAGAAAUUUGGAGAGUGUCAAAAAAUUUUUGGUUCGAGCAGCGUCGUCAACACCAAUAGCAACUGUGCGUGUUGCAAUUGAUCAAUAGCCUAGUCGUUUGAGGUCUUGUGUGAAAGCAAAAGGUGACCUUUUCUAAUAAAAUCUUGUACAUCGC